rnacentral:rRNA from 1 species
CAGUGGCGAACGGGUGAGUAACACGUGGGCAACCUGCCCUCAGCUCUGGGAUAACUCCAAGAAAUUGGGGCUAAUACUGGAUAUGACCGCUGACCGCAUGGUCUGGUGGUGGAAAGAUUUAUCGGCUGGGGAUGGGCCCGCGGCCUAUCAGCUUGUUGGUGGGGUAGUGGCCUACCAAGGCGACGACGGGUAGCCGGCCUGAGAGGGUGACCGGCCACACUGGGACUGAGACACGGCCCAGACUCCUACGGGAGGCAGCAGUGGGGAAUAUUGCGCAAUGGGCGAAAGCCUGACGCAGCGACGCCGCGUGGGGGAUGACGGCCUUCGGGUUGUAAACCUCUUUCAGCAGGGACGAAGCGAAAGUGACGGUACCUGCAGAAGAAGCACCGGCCAACUACGUGCCAGCAGCCGCGGUAAUACGUAGGGUGCAAGCGUUGUCCGGAAUUAUUGGGCGUAAAGAGCUCGUAGGCGGUUUGUUGCGUCGGCUGUGAAAACCUGAGGCUCAACCUCAGGCCUGCAGUCGAUACGAGCAGACUAGAGUGUUGCAGGGGAGACUGGAAUUCCUGGUGUAGCGGUGAAAUGCGCAGAUAUCAGGAGGAACACCGGUGGCGAAGGCGGGUCUCUGGGCAACAACUGACGCU